UACGUAGGGGGCAAGCGUUGUCCGGAUUUAUUGGGCGUAAAGAGCGUGUAGGCGGCUUUACAGGUCCGUUGUGAAAACUCGAGGCUCAACCUCGAGACGCCGAUGGAAACCAUCUGGCUAGAGUCCGGAAGAGGAGAGUGGAAUUCCUGGUGUAGCGGUGAAAUGCGCAGAUAUCAGGAAGAACACCCGUGGCGAAGGCGGCUCUCUGGGACGGUACUGACGCUGAGACGCGAAAACGUGGGGAGCGAACAGG
rnacentral:rRNA from 1 species